rnacentral:tRNA from 1 species
UCCUUGAUGGCUCAGAUGGUAAAGAAUCUGCCUGCAAUGUAGAAGACCCGGGUUUGAUCCCUGGGUUGGGAA